rnacentral:rRNA from 1 species
AGAGUUUGAUUCUGGCUCAGGACGAACGCUGGCGGCGUGCCUAACACAUGCAAGUCGAACGGACGAGGCCCCUUCGGGGACCGAGUUAGUGGCGGACGGGUGAGUAACGCGUGAGCAACCUGCCUUUCAGUGGGGGACAACAGUUGGAAACGACUGCUAAUACCGCAUAAAGCUAACCGGAGGCAUCUCUGGGGAGCCAAAGAUUUAUUGCUGAAAGAUGGGCUCGCGUCUGAUUAGCUAGUUGGCGGGGUAAGGGCCCACCAAGGCGACGAUCAGUAGCCGGACUGAGAGGUUGAACGGCCACAUUGGGACUGAGAUACGGCCCAG